rnacentral:rRNA from 1 species
GACGAACGCUGGCGGCGUGCCUAACACAUGCAAGUCGAGCGAUGAAACCCUUCGGGGUGGAUUAGCGGCGGACGGGUGAGUAACACGUGGGUAACCUGCCUCAAAGAGGGGGAUAGCCUCCCGAAAGGGAGAUUAAUACCGCAUAACAUUGGUUUUUCGCAUGAAGAACCAAUUAAAGGAGCAAUCCGCUUUGAGAUGGACCCGCGGCGCAUUAGCUAGUUGGUGAGGUAACGGCUCACCAAGGCGAAGAGGCGUAGCCGACCUGAGAGGGUGAUCGGCCACAUUGGAACUGAGACACGGUCCAGACUCCUACGGGAGGCAGCAGUGGGGAAUAUUGCACAAUGGGCGAAAGCCUGAUGCAGCAACGCCGCGUGAGUGAUGAAGGCCUUCGGGUUGUAAAGCUCUGUCUUUGGGGACGAUAAUGACGGUACCCAAGGAGGAAGCCACGGCUAACUACGUGCCAGCCGCCGCCGUAAGAC